ACUGCACUGCGUCCGCCCUCUUUGUUUCUGUCUCAGUCUCUCUGUCUCCCUUCGUUCUCUUUCUCUCCCCCUGCUACCCCCCCCCACAGUUACACACACACACACACACACACACACACACACACACACACACACGCAGUGUGAAAGAUGCGAGCCAUAGCAUCUCGUAACAUGAAGGCCAUCCAGCUCCAUCCUCCCACUGCUGCUUGAACAAUAUGCUUAACACGUAGUGCCGCAGUCGCUGCUUGGAUUGAAUGUGUUCAUGCACAGAUUUUAUCAUCUUGUUACUCAAACGACUGAUGGCUUCUGACCCUGCCUGAAAAUUUCCUAAGAGGUAACAGUUCUAGGACACAGAGCUCUAUGGGCUAUGUUGAGGAAGCUGCUUACAGACGAAAUUGACAGCAUGAAGAAAGGUGUGGUCCUUACAAGUAUAGGGCCUAUAUUAAUGAAGUAGCCAGGCAUAGCUUCAGCCAGGAGACUGAAGCACCAGAUGCUGGAGGGAGUGGAGGAAGAAGUUUAAUUACCACAUACAGCUCUUCCAUAUGCAAGGUCUCUGGGGCAAAACUGUCAUUCUGUCUGAAGCCAGACCCUCAAUGUCAGACUAAGAGAGUCGGAUGGAGACUACAUCUUCUGUGUGUGUUGCAAUGGGAGGACUUCUCUCCACCGAGUUUAGUGAGGGCAACACUGUCUCACAUGUCUGAAUGCUGUGCUGCACUGUUGACUGUCACUGUUGGGGAUAUUGGAAGAUCACAAGAAACUCCUGAUCCUGAAUACUGGCCUGAGCCUCUUUUGGAAGAGGCCUUCCAGAACCCUACUCUUGCUAGAACUGAAUGCCAGAGCUGUGUAAUGGGGACAUCCUGUUGUGAACUUAUGUCCUUUCUGGACAAAUGUAUUCAAUUUGAGGCAGCAUGCCCAAUGGUUAGCCACUCAACCUCUGAACCCAAACCCCCAGCUCUACUGCUUAAUAGCUAUAUAACCUUGAGAAAAUUCAUUAAUAUUCCUGUACUUCAAUUUUAUCAUGUAUAAAAUAAGGAUAAUAAUUUUACAUGUCUUAUGGGGUUGUUAUGAUGAUUAAAUGGGUUAACAUUUCUAAAAAAUACUUGAACAGUGCCUGAUACAUUGUAAAUGCAUAUAUAUGUGUUUUUAAAAAUAGACAAUUAUAUACCAUUAAAUGUUAACCUGGCUUUGAUGCAGCUAGUUGAUCAAAUAAUCUAAAUCUUUGUAAUUGGAUAGUAAUAGAAAAGAAGGAAGAGAAAGAGAAUAUGCAUGUUUACAAAAGCAAAAGCCUAGGCUUUGGAUGUGGUGAGGACAGACAUCUCUGAGAUGUCCUUAAUUUUAUCCACUUCCAUUGAAUGUUAUUUGCGUUCACCUCUUGUGCAAAAUAAGAACCAAAAGGGAGUCUUCCUUAUUAU
rnacentral:lncRNA from 1 species